rnacentral:rRNA from 1 species
UUUAUGGAGAGUUUGAUCCUGGCUCAGGAUGAACGCUGGCGGCGUGCCUAAUACAUGCAAGUCGAGCGAACGGACGAGAAGCUUGCUUCUCUGAUGUUAGCGGCGGACGGGUGAGUAACACGUGGAUAACCUACCUAUAAGACUGGGAUAACUUCGGGAAACCGGAGCUAAUACCGGAUAAUAUUUUGAACCGCAUGGUUCAAAAGUAAAAGACGGUCUUGCUGUCACUUAUAGAUGGAUCCGCGCUGCAUUAGCUAGUUGGUAAGGUAAC